rnacentral:rRNA from 1 species
UGGGGAAUUUUGGACAAUGGGGGAAAGCCUGAUCCAGCAAUGCCGCGUGUGUGAAGAAGGCCUUCGGGUUGUAAAGCACUUUUGUCCGGAAAGAAAUCCUUGGCUCUAAUACAGUCGGGGGAUGACGGUACCGGAAGAAUAAGCACCGGCUAACUACGUGCCAGCAGCCGCGGUAAUACGUAGGGUGCAAGCGUUAAUCGGAAUUACUGGGCGUAAAGCGUGCGCAGGCGGUUUGCUAAGACCGAUGUGAAAUCCCCGGGCUCAACCUGGGAACUGCAUUGGUGACUGGCAGGCUAGAGUAUGGCAGAGGGGGGUAGAAUUCCACGUGUAGCAGUGAAAUGCGUAGAGAUGUGGAGGAAUACCGAUGGCGAAGGCAGCCCCCUGGGCCAAUACUGACGCUCAUGCACGAAAGCGUGGGGAGCAAACAGGAUUAGGUACCCUGGUAGUCCACGCCCUAAACGAUGUCAACUAGUUGUUGGGGAUUCAUUUCCUUAGUAACGUAGCUAACGCGUGAAGUUGACCGCCUGGGGAGUACGGUCGCAAGAUUAAAACUCAAAUGAAUUGACGGGGUCAUAGCUGUUUCCU